rnacentral:lncRNA from 1 species
UUUAGAAGUCAUAUAGUACUAUAAAGUUGUAAGAAAACAAUAAACAAUUAAUGUACAGAUAUUGUAAGACUGAGUCUUGGUGUAUCAUUUCAGAUGCUAUCCAGGUACUGAUUCCUGCCAAGAACAGAGAAAUACUGAAGAAGCUUGUGAGUAGGAGUAGCCAUUUUCGAUUUAUUCCAUCAAUUAAGAUACAAAUCCAUGAUCUAUAAAUUCAUUCAGUUCACACAUCCUUCUCUGGAUUCUAAUAAGUCUCAUCCAUCUUCCAGAAAGAAUGAAAUUAAGAAAUUGAGGCCCAGAGAGGUAAAAACCAAGACAACAAAUGAGUGUCAGAGAAUUAAAACCUAAUCCAAUAUUUUCCCCUCACUCCCUUGUCCAAGAGAUUAUGGCAGAGGAAUGUGAGGUCUAGAAAUGAGUUUGGGAUUGGAGGAAGGGGGAGAAAGGAAAGACUCUUGGAUAAAGAGGGGAUGAAUGAAAGAACAUAUAUCCAAGAAAGAUAUUGGGAGAUUUGGGGGCCCAAGUGUAUAAGUAUAGUAUGAUGUAAGUGGUUAUAAUGUCUUUCUAAGUGCAGGGCCAAAUUAGAUAAUUGAAAAAUUUCAGUGUUGGAAGGUGACUGAAUCCUACCUCUCCCUAUUCAGGUCAAGAAGCAUUUUUAAGCACUUUCUAUGCACUUGGCACUGUGCUAAAUUCUAGGAAUAAAAAGAAAAGCAACAAACAGCCCCUGAUCUCAAGGAGUUCCCGGUCUAAUAGGAGAAAAAAAUGAAAAGAACUAUGUAUAAACAAAAUACAUACAAAAACUAAAUUGAAAAUAAUUUCAGAGAGCACACUAAGAUUAAGGAGGACUAUCAAAGACUUCUUAAAAAGGUCGAACUUUAGGUUAGAGUCCAAAGAAAGUCAGAGAAAUCAGGAUAUGAAGAUAGGAGAGAGGGAGCGAGGGAGGGAGAGAGAAAGAGAGAGAGUAUGUGUGUAUAAGUGAGUGUGUGAAUGUGUGUGUGUGGUUGUGUGUGUGUGUGUGAGAGAGAGAGUGAGUGUGUGUGUGUGUGUGUGUGUGUGUGUGUUCCAGGAAGAGAGAACCCAAGGUGAACAUUCUCAGAAUUGAAAAAUGGAAUGGUUCAUGAGCAGCAAGGAAACCAUUGUCACUGAAUUUCAGAGAACAUGGAAGGGAACAAGGUAUAAGAAGAGCAGAAAGGAAGGAAGAUGUUGGGUUAUAAAAGACUUUUAAAAACCAAACAGAGAAUUUUAUCCUGGGUAAAAUAGGGAGUCACUGGAAUUGAUCAAAUAGAUAGGUAACACAGUCAGACUUGUGCUAAAGAAAAAAACCUUUUAUUUUUAUUUUAUUUUUUUUUUAUUUAAUAGCCUUUUAUUUACAGGAUAUAUGCAUGGUAACUUUACAGCAUUAACAAUUGCCAAACCUCUUGUUCCAAUUUUUCACCUCUUACCCCCCCCCUCCCCUAGAUGGCAGGAUGACCAGUAGAUGUUAAAUAUAUUAAAAUAUAAAUUAGAUACACAUUAAGUAUACAUGACCAAACUGUUAUUUUGCUGUACAAAAAGAAUCAGACUCUGAAAUAUUGUACAAUUAGCUUGUGAAGGAAAUCAAAAAUGCAGGUGUGCAUAAAUAUAGGGAUUGGGAAUUCAGUGUAAUGGUUUUAGUCAUCUCCCAGAGUUCUUUUUCUGGGCAUAGCUGGUUCAGUUCAUUACUGCUCCAUUGGAAAUGAUUUGGUUGAUCUCGUUGCUGAGGAUGGCCUGGUCCAUCAGAACUGGUCAUCAUAUAGUAUUGUUGUUGAAGUAUAUAAUGAUCUCCUGGUCCUGCUCAUUUCACUCAGCAUCAGUUCGUGUAAGUCUCUCCAGGCCUUUCUGAAAUCAUCCUGUUGGUCAUUUCUUACAGAACAGUAAUAUUCCAUAAUAUUCAUAUACCACAAUUUAUUCAGCCAUUCUCCAACUGAUGGACAUCCAUUCAGUUUCCAGUUUUUACCACUACAAAAGGGCUGCCACAAACAUUUGUGCACAUACAGGUCCCUUUCCCUUCUUUAUAAUCUCUUUGGGAUAUAAUCCCAGUAGUAACACUGCUGGAUCAAAGUUUGAUAACUUUUG